rnacentral:rRNA from 1 species
AUUGAACGCUGGCGGCAGGCCUAACACAUGCAAGUCGAACGAGUGGCGGACGGGUGAGUAAUGUCUGGGAAUCUGCCUGAUGGAGGGGGAUAACUACGGGAAACUGUAGCUAAUACCGCGUACCAUAGGAUGAGCCCAAGUGGGAUUAGGUAGUUGGUGGGGUAAAGGCUCACCAAGGCGACGAUCGCUAGCUGGUCUGAGAGGAUGACCAGCCACACUGGAACUGAGACACGGCCCAGACUCCUACGGGAGGCAGCAGGGGGGAAGAUUGCACAAUGGGGGCAACCCUGACGCAGCCAUGCCGCGUGAAGGAAGAAGGCCUUCGGGUUGUAAAGUACUUUCGGUGGGGAGGCGUUACCUACAGAAGAAGCACCGGCUAACUCCGUGCCAGCAGCCGCGGUAAUAC